GCUGACAGUAACCAGUGACGCCUGCGGAACCACGGAAAGUCCGACGGCGUGGGAAAUGCUCACAGUGAUGGACUUGGAUGGGAAGAGGCAGGACGGAGGCAGGCAGAAAGCUGAGCUGUGUGUGUAGCUCCAGCCAAGGAGAGCAAUGGAGUCUGCAUUCCAGCUUGUGCCUGAACGCACAGGAGGGAGGCCACCACCCACCAGCUAUUCGGGUGGGAAGCUGCAGCGUUCUGCUCUGGCUGGAUUCCGGCCAAGGUGGGCAGAGGAUGGAUCCUUCAUCUCAAACAGCCAGUCCCAGAGGGCUCCAGCUCUAGCUGUGUCUGUCUCAGCCCUGCGUCGCCUCAUUUCCUAGGCUGAAGCCACGGUGGCUUAGUUGCCCUAGCAGAGAUGAACAGUGGAACACAGAAGAUGAAAGCCUUGUCUCUACUGGGCUCUGAACCUUCCCUGGGUGUUGUGUCCAUUUUCAAAGUAAAUUAGGGCAGCUAGCAUGGGCUCAGGACAGAGCCUGGGUUGUGGCCUGCAGGAAGGCUAAGGAGCUAGUUAGGGGGACAGAAUCGGACACUGGGCUAUCUGGUCUUCAGAGCACUUGCUGUAUACUGGCCCUUCUGAGCUGGCCCCAAAAGAGUGAACAGGAUCCACUGGGCUUUGCCUAGGCUAGUUCACCCUGUGCUCAAGUAUGUGCAGCUGUGGAUGGUGUGCUGCGCUCUGACUGGGUCAGUCUCAUGCUAGAGACAGACCUUAAUUUGACAGGUGCAGGCAUGUGAGGCAGGGUGCCUGGAUGGGGUGCUUCUCAACUGGGGGUGGCCAGAAGAAGUAAGAGGGACAUCAGAGAGACUCGGCAGUGGACAGUCCCAUCUCCCGUGCUGGCAAUCUUGUUCUUAGGGAGGAAGCUGCUUGUCGGAGCUGCACUGUCCCUCUAAUCUCGGCACUUAUCUGCCUCCUAUUUGCCCAGUGAGAGUGAAAACACACGGCCUGGAGGUCAAGGGGAGUGGGGAGGGGACAGCUGAUGUUUGCCCAGCUUCUCUCAGCCAUGUUAUAAAUAGCUUGGAGCUUCUUGGCUGCGGGUGGUGGCAGUGUCCCCCACCGGCACCGCCUAGCCCUUGGGCACCAGAUGCCAGGUGGCAAGCCUGAGAUGUUGACAUUCCCCUGCUCUGUGUUUGGCUUCCGAUAGAGGCCCUGAACAAGGCAUGGCUGGAAGAGCCCUUUCUCAUAGGAAAGCCCCCUGCUCCCCUAGGCUACUCCCCCAGGCCAUCCUGGACCACACCUGCACCGUGGGAAAGCCCCAAGGCUCUGUAGUCCAUGCUGAGCGCCUCAGAGGGUCCAGGGCUGGGCAUGGCCUCAGGUAUGGGCUCUAGCCUUCGCUCUACAACUGCUUAGACUCAGGAGUGCCGCUCAGGAGGCAGAGCCCUGCUCUGGGUCAGAGCCCCUCCAUGGAGUUCCAGCCUCCACCUGGAAGAGGGAGGGAAACCUGCCAUCCAGAAGUUGCCACUGCCUAGAGCAUCUCUGUAACUAAUAAGCCUCGGUUUUCCAGCUAUAAAAUGAGAUGCUUAAAGCUGGGGAAAUGGAAGCCGGGCGAAGUGAUGCACACGUUUAAUCCAGAGGCAGAGGCAGGUGGAUUUCUGUUAAUUCAAGGCCAGUCUGGUCCACAUAGUGAGUUUCAGGACAGCCAGAGUUACAUAGUGAAACGUGUCUUGAAAAAAGAAACAAACACCCUCCCCCCAUUAAAAACCCAACAAAUGAAAAAGCUAGCAAAGUGGUUCAGUGGAUAAUGGAUUUGCUGAGCAAGCAUGAGAACCCAAGUAUGGAUUGCCAGCACCAGGUAAAGAGCUGGGGAUGGUGGAGCAUAUCUGUAACCCCAGUACUGGGGCAGACAAAGAGAGGCAGAUCUCAGGAGCUUGCUGGCCAGUUAGCCUAGCCAAAAUGGUAAGUUCCAGGUUUGGUGAGAGACCCUAUCUCAAAACAUGUGGUGAAGAGCAUAAAGACACCUAAUGUAGACCUCUGAUCUUCACAUGUACACACCUGGGUGAGCACCACUGUACAUCUACGCGUACAUAUGCUUCAUACACACACACACACACUCACACUGGUGGAAGAUAAAUGCACUGUCAAACUGUCAGCACCCCUUAACUAUGUGCCUUAGAACUUUCCCAUGAUCCAAGGGAGGGCUGAGGGCAGCCAAGCAGAGCAGGGGGUGAUUCUCAAGGCAGAACCACUGCCACCUCACAGGUGAGCAGGUGAAGGAGAGCCCUGGCAGGUGGUGUUGGCCCAGGCUCUAAGCAAGCAAGGCUUCACAAGCCUGAAGUUUGGCAUCCAGUACUCCCCAAAGCCUCUGAAGAAGCUCAUUGGCGUUUUGCGUUUAUUGGUUUCAUCAACCUCAUUAGCCAGUUUAUAGGGCCUCUAGGUCACUUCAAAGCCCUCCUGGUCCCAGAAGCUUUGUGAGCCCUCCUUGCACCCCUGGGGAUAGGCUACAUGAUCCCCAAGUUCUGUAGAGCCCUGGAGCCACAAGCCAAGACAGCAAGGUGGGGAGACAGGUGGGUUUGCUAUCCUUGAGGGCCUCAGUAGGGCAGUCAGACCUGUGGGUGCCAUGGCUGCAUCCACCUUACCCCCAGGUCUGCCAGUCCAGCAGGGCGCCCAUCCCAGGGAAUGACAUCAGUGUAGUCAGCCUGGGAUGAAAGAGCCCUGGGGCUGGUGGAUGGGGGACACAAUUCAUUUUCCCAUUCAUCUCCACCAUAGAACGUCAAACUAGCAAGGUGGUAGUGGUGCACGCCUUUGAUCCCAGCACUCAGGAGGCAGAGGCAGUGGAUCUCUGUGAGUUCGAUGCUAGCCUGAUCUACAGGAAGAAUUCCAGGACAGCUCAAGUUGCACAGAGAA